rnacentral:rRNA from 1 species
UACAGAGGGGGCAAGCGUUGUUCGGAAUUACUGGGCGUAAAGGGCGCGUAGGCGGCCUGUUAAGUCGAACGUGAAAUCCCCGGGCUCAACCCGGGAACUGCGUCCGAUACCGGCAGGCUUGAAUUCGGGAGAGGGAUGUGGAAUUCCAGGUGUAGCGGUGAAAUGCGUAGAUAUCUGGAGGAACACCGGUGGCGAAGGCGGCAUCCUGGACCGAUAUUGACGCUGAUGCGCGAAAGCCAGGGGAGCAAACGGG